CCCUUAGAUGUUCUGGGCUGCACGCGCGCUACACUGAAGCUAUCAACACGUUUUCCCUCCCUGAGAAGGGCGGGUAACCUUUUGAAUCAGCUUCGUGGUAGGGAUCGGGGCUUGCAAUUGUUCCCCGUGAACCAGGAAUUCCUAGUAGACGCGAGUCAUAAGCUCGCAUCGAUUAAGUCCCUGCCCUUUGCACACACCGCCCGUCGCUACUACCGAUUGAACGUUUUAGUGAGGCAUUUGGACCGACGCAUCUCAGUUUAACCGCUGGUUUGUGUUGGAAAGACUUCCAAACUUGAGCGUUUAGAGGAAGUAAAAGUCGUAACA
rnacentral:rRNA from 1 species